rnacentral:rRNA from 1 species
ACACGAAGUGAGUGGCGAACGGGUGAGUAACACGUGGGUAACCUGCCCAGAAGUAGGGGAUAACACCUGGAAACAGAUGCUAAUACCGUAUAACAGAGAAAACCGCAUGGUUUUCUUUUAAAAGAUGGCUCUGCUAUCACUUCUGGAUGGACCCGCGGCGUAUUAGCUAGUUGGUGAGGUAAAGGCUCACCAAGGCAGUGAUACGUAGCCGACCUGAGAGGGUAAUCGGCCACAUUGGGACUGAGACACGGCCCAGACUCCUACGGGAGGCAGCAGUAGGGAAUCUUCCACAAUGGACGCAAGUCUGAUGGAGCAACGCCGCGUGAGUGAAGAAGGGUUUCGGCUCGUAAAGCUCUGUUGUUAAAGAAGAACGUGGGUAAGAGUAACUGUUUACCCAGUGACGGU